AAUGUAAACAGGCUUUUUGCU
rnacentral:miRNA from 1 species